UUUAUGGAGAGUUUGAUCCUGGCUCAGAGUGAACGCUGGCGGCGUGCCUAAUACAUGCAAGUCGAACGAUGAAGCUUCUAGCUUGCUAGAGUGCUGAUUAGUGGCGCACGGGUGAGUAACGCAUAGGUUAUGUGCCUCUUAGUUUGGGAUAGCCAUUGGAAACGAUGAUUAAUACCAGAUACUCCCUACGGGGGAAAGAUUUAUCGCUAAGAGAUCAGCCUAUGUCCUAUCAGCUUGUUGGUAAGGUAAUGGCUUACCAAGGCUAUGACGGGUAUCCGGCCUGAGAGGGUGAACGGACACACUGGAACUGAGACACGGUCCAGACUCCUACGGGAGGCAGCAGUAGGGAAUAUUGCUCAAUGGGGGAAACCCUGAAGCAGCAACGCCGCGUGGAGGAUGAAGGUUUUAGGAUUGUAAACUCCUUUUGUUAGAGAAGAUAAUGACGGUAUCUAACGAAUAAGCACCGGCUAACUCCGUGCCAGCAGCCGCGGUAAUACGGAGGGUGCAAGCGUUACUCGGAAUCACUGGGCGUAAAGAGCGCGUAGGCGGGAUAGUCAGUCAGGUGUGAAAUCCUAUGGCUUAACCAUAGAACUGCAUUUGAAACUACUAUUCUAGAGUGUGGGAGAGGUAGGUGGAAUUCUUGGUGUAGGGGUAAAAUCCGUAGAGAUCAAGAGGAAUACUCAUUGCGAAGGCGACCUGCUGGAACAUUACUGACGCUGAUUGUGCGAAAGCGUGGGGAGCAAACAGGAUUAGAUACCCUGGUAGUCCACGCCCUAAACGAUGGAUGCUAGUUGUUGGAGGGCUUAGUCUCUCCAGUAAUGCAGCUAACGCAUUAAGCAUCCCGCCUGGGGAGUACGGUCGCAAGAUUAAAACUCAAAGGAAUAGACGGGGACCCGCACAAGCGGUGGAGCAUGUGGUUUAAUUCGAGGAUACACGAAGAACCUUACCUAGGCUUGACAUUGAGAGAAUCCGCUAGAAAUAGUGGAGUGUCUAGCUUGCUAGACCUUGAAAACAGGUGCUGCACGGCUGUCGUCAGCUCGUGUCGUGAGAUGUUGGGUUAAGUCCCGCAACGAGCGCAACCCCCUUUCUUAGUUGCUAACAGGUCAUGCUGAGAACUCUAAGGAUACUGCCUCCGUAAGGAGGAGGAAGGUGGGGACGACGUCAAGUCAUCAUGGCCCUUACGCCUAGGGCUACACACGUGCUACAAUGGGGUGCACAAAGAGAAGCAAUACUGCGAAGUGGAGCCAAUCUUCAAAACACCUCUCAGUUCGGAUUGUAGGCUGCAACUCGCCUGCAUGAAGCUGGAAUCGCUAGUAAUCGCAAAUCAGCCAUGUUGCGGUGAAUACGUUCCCGGGUCUUGUACUCACCGCCCGUCACACCAUGGGAGUUGUGUUUGCCUUAAGUCAGGAUGCUAAAUUGGCUACUGCCCACGGCACACACAGCGACUGGGGUGAAGUCGUAACAAGGUAACCGUAGGUGAACCUGCGGUUGGAUCACCUCCUUUCUAGA
rnacentral:rRNA from 1 species